rfam:Daphnia magna strain Xinb3 scaffold02452, whole genome shotgun sequence.
GGCUUGAUGGUCUAGGGGUAUGAUUCUCGCUUCGGGUGCGAGAGGUCCCGGGUUCAAAUCCCGGUCAAGCCC